UACGUAGGGUGCGAGCGUUGUCCGGAAUUACUGGGCGUAAAGAGUUCGUAGGCGGUUUGUCGCGUCGUCUGUGAAAACCCAUCGCUCAACGAUGGGCCGGCAGGCGAUACGGGCAGACUUGAGUACUGCAGGGGAGACUGGAAUUCCUGGUGUAGCGGUGAAAUGCGUAGAUAUCGGGAGGAACACCAGUGGCGAAGGCGGCUUUCUGGUCUGCUCUUGACGCUGAGGCGCGAAAGCUAGGGUAGCAAACGGG
rnacentral:rRNA from 1 species